AUUGAACGCUGGCGGCAUGCCUUACACAUGCAAGUCGAACGGUAACAGGCCGCAAGGUGCUGACGAGUGGCGAACGGGUGAGUAACACAUCGGAACGUGCCUGAUAGUGGGGGAUAACUACUCGAAAGAGUAGCUAAUACCGCAUAAGAUCUCAGGAUGAAAGCAGGGGACCGCAAGGCCUUGCGCUAACAGAGCGGCCGAUGGCAGAUUAGGUAGUUGGUGGGAUAAAAGCUUACCAAGCCGACGAUCUGUAGCUGGUCUGAGAGGACGACCAGCCACACUGGGACUGAGACACGGCCCAGACUCCUACGGGAGGCAGCAGUGGGGAAUUUUGGACAAUGGGCGCAAGCCUGAUCCAGCAAUGCCGCGUGCAGGAUGAAGG
rnacentral:rRNA from 1 species